rnacentral:sRNA from 1 species
AUUCUGCCCAUGCGGGGAAGGAUGAGAAGCUUCGACCAAGGUUCGACUCGAGCGCCAGCGAGAGAGCGUGGCCGCAGCAAACGACCCGAAGGGCGAAGCGCGCAGCGCUGAGUAAUCCUUCCCCCACCACCA